rnacentral:lncRNA from 1 species
GGCAGAGCCGUGGCGUGUGGGCAGGCAGGGGCAGGCAGGAGGGAAGGAGAGGACAGGGCUGGGCAGGUGAGGGCAGGAACAGGCAGGAGAGGACAGCAGGGAGGAGGGGGUAGGGGCAGGAGAGACAGGGCAGGAGCAGGGACAGGAGGGCAGGAGCAGGCAGGAGCAGACAGGAACAGGCAGGAGCAGGCAGAGGAAGGCAGGAGCAGGCAGAGGAAGGCAGGAGCAGGCAGAGGAAGGCAGGAACAGACAGGAGCAGGCAGAGGAAGGCAGGAACAGGGAGGAGCAGGCAGGAACAGGCAGAGGAAGGCAGGAGCAGGCAGGAACAGGCAGAGGAAGGCAGGAACAGACAGGAGCAGGCAGGAACAGGCAGAGGAAGGCAGGAACAGACAGGAGCAGAGAGGAACAAGCAGGAGCAGGCAGGCACUGCCCGGCUGGUGGGUGACUGUUGGGUUGGCAGAGGCUGAGCCCCAGGUGAGCAUCCCCCAGUCCCUGUCACCCGGCUCCCAUCACAGCUCAGACUGGCUGGUUUGCAGAACCCCGGGUGUGUUUCCUGAGCCAGCACUGCUUCUGCUGGAUGCAGCCAUUACUCCAGGCCCCAGGGAAAUGGGAGGGAUUUUGUCAAUCAUGAGGAAUUCUAUAGAGGAAAUUCUAGUUUGUAGAUCUUUUAUAAACAUGAAACUCUACCUUUGGAAAUUAUUUUUUUUUUCUUUUAAUGAUUCCUUGAGAACUAGAGGCUGCCAGCAGCUAAGGCACUGUCCCAGUGCUGGGGGCCAGCUGAGUGUCCCCUCCCUGUCACCCAGCCACGGGCACUGUCCUGUGCCUGCCGGGGUGAGAGCUGAGCCCGUGGCCUCGGGUCCUGCCUGGGCUGGAGGAAUCCAAACCAAACCCAGAAAAACUGCAAAUUGUGCCAGAUCCAGGAGGGGCUUUACGAGGGGCUCUGCACCAGGCCAGGCCCAGGGGUGGUGGCUGGUGGGGGCUCCCCUGAGCCUGGCACGUCCCGGAGCCACCGUGCCACCCUCUGCAGAGCACAGCUGA